AUUGAACGCUGGCGGCAGGCUUAACACAUGCAAGUCGAACGAGUGGCGGACGGGUGAGUAAUGCUUGGGAAUCUGGCUUAUGGAGGGGGAUAACGACGGGAAACUGUCGCUAAUACCGCGUACCAUAGGAUGAGCCCAAGUGGGAUUAGCUGGUUGGCGGGGUAAAGGCCCACCAAGGCGACGAUCAGUAGCGGGUCUGAGAGGAUGAUCCGCCACACUGGGACUGAGACACGGCCCAGACUCCUACGGGAGGCAGCAGUGGGGAAUUUUGGACAAUGGGCGCAAGCCUGAUCCAGCCAUGCCGCGUGUCUGAAGAAGGCCUUCGGGUUGUAAAGGACUUUUGUCAGGGAAGCGGUACCUGAAGAAUAAGCACCGGCUAACUCCGUGCCAGCAGCAGCGGUAAUUC
rnacentral:rRNA from 1 species